rnacentral:rRNA from 1 species
AGUCACUGACAUUAGAUACCCGUGUAGUCCAGGGUGUAAACGCUGCAGACUUGGUGUUGGAGGCCCUUUGGGGGCAUUCAGUGCCGGAGAGAAGUUGUUAAGUCUGCUACUUGGGGAGUACGUCCGCAAGGAUGAGACUUAAAGGAAUUGGCGGGGGGAGCACCGCAACGGGAGGAGCGUGCGGUUUAAUUGGAUUCAACACCGUAAACUCACCAGGGAAGACUGUUACAUGAAGGCCGAGAUGAAGACUCUGCUAGAUUUUCAG